rnacentral:rRNA from 1 species
GAUGAACGCUGGCGGCGUGCCUAAUACAUGCAAGUCGAGCGAACGGACGAGAAGCUUGCUUUUCUGAUGUUAGCGGCGGACGGGUGAGUAACACGUGGAUAACCUACCUAUAAGACUGGGAUAACUUCGGGAAACCGGAGCUAAUACCGGAUAAUAUUUUGAACCGCAUGGUUCAAAAGUGAAAGACGGUCUUGCUGUCACUUAUAGAUGGAUCCGCGCUGCAUUAGCUAGUUGGUAAGGUAACGGCUUACCAAGGCAACGAUGCAUAGCCGACCUGAGAGGGUGACCGGCCACACUGGAACUGAGACACGGUCCAGACUCCUACGGGAGGCAGCAGUAGGGAAUCUUCCGCAAAGGGCGAAAGCCUGACGGAGCAACGCCGCGUGAGUGAUGAAGGUCUUCGGAUCGUAAAACUCUGUUAUUAGGGAAGAACAUAUGUGUAAGUAACUGUGCACAUCUUGACGGUACCUAAUCAGAAAGCCACGGCUAACUACGUG